rnacentral:rRNA from 1 species
UACGGAGGGUGCAAGCGUUGUCCGGAAUCACUGGGCGUAAAGGGCGCGUAGGCGGCUCAUGAAGGCUGUGGUGAAAGUCCGGGGCUCAACCUCGGAUCGGCCGUGGCGACUCGUGGGCUGGAGCACUGUAGAGGCGGGUGGAAUUCCGGGUGUAGCGGUGGAAUGCGUAGAUAUUGGGAGGAACACCAGUGGCGAAGGCGACUGUCUGGACGGCACCUGACGCUGAGGCGCGAAAGCCAGGGGAGCAAACGGG